rnacentral:tRNA from 1 species
GGAGGGUUGGCCGAGUGGUUUAAGGCGACGGUCUUGAAAACCGUUGAACCGAAUAGUUCCGUGGGUUCAAAUCCCACACCCUCCGCCA